rnacentral:RNase_P_RNA from 1 species
UAGCUGCACUAGACAACCGCUCCGAUUUAAUAUCGGAGAGGAAAGUCCGAACACCGCCCCGUGGAACCUUUGGUGAAGCGGGUGAGCAAAGUAACGGGUAACGCCCGCCGGGUAACACCCAGAGGUGCGAACAGAGACGCGUUUGCCGGAAACGGCGAACGGAUCCUUCGGGAUCAGCUUUUGCAGAAAUGCAAAAGGUGCAACGGCCAAAUCCUUAUUUCGGUGCAAGGUCGUGUCCCGAUCAAAAUCGGGAAGAACCGCUUGACCCCGAGCGCAAGCGAGGGGCUAGACAUAUGGUUGUCAAAUACAGAAUUCGGCUUAUUGUGCGGCGACAUG